CAGGGGCGAGCGAGAGAAGCCGGGGGCUGGGCCGAGCGGUCGGCGGACGUGAGAAACGCUGGGAAGGAGCCGCUGCUCUCCGCUGACCGCCGUGCGCGGGGCCCGCCACCGGCUCCGGCUGCAGGUGUGACCAGCCAGCGCGGCGGGGCACGGAGGUGGGCCACCGCGGCCUCUAACGGGGCAGUUCGUUGCCCGGGCCGUGAGCCUCGGCCUGUGGAGCGGCCCUGAGCCGGGUAACCCGCUGUCCUACCGCCUGGGGCCGUGUCAGUCGCCUAGAGGGCUGCUGGCUGAGGUGAGGGAGGGACCCCGCUGCUCCUGUGUGCGCAGGUAGAUCCGUAGGGCGAAUCCCCACACGUGGAAUUAUUGGAUCACAUCUAAGUUUUCAUUGUUGGCAAAUGGCACCAAAUUACCCUAAGUUGUACCAAUUUGCAGUUUCACCAACAAUGUGUGUCACAGGAAUUUAAACUGUCAAAUGUAAGAGUUGUUGAGGUGCUAGUUGACUGAAACGCCAGAAAGGCACACACGUACGGCUGUGAGUCCCGGAGUGCCCCGUACUCCGAACAAGCAGAAGCUAUAAGGAUGAAAACGUGUCCCCAGCAGGGGGAAAUGUCGGGACAUCUAACAGUCUUUUACUGUUGAGGACUCCUGAGGCACUUCUCAAGAAACGCCAGUCACCUUCUGAGCUGUGCAAGGGCUCACCACCAUGGAGAACCUAACAUAAGUCAAGGGAGGAGGCACUACAGGAACCGUCUAUCUUCGUACGCUCUUUAGUACCAAUCUCUUACUUCCUGACCCUGCCUGAAACUCGGAAGAACAGAGGCUCUGACGGCACUGUAUGAGAAUUUCUGAAGAACUUGCCAACCAGGAAAAGUCAUGCAGCAGUCUUCAAGGUUAAAGGGAACAUGGCUGUGAGACCAGAAAAUAUUGCUUCACAAAGUUGCAAAAGUGAAAGACUGAUGGUUGAAAGUUGUAAAUUCUUGGUCUGGAGACCUGAGUUCAAACCCCUGAACACACAGGUGAAAGAGAAUCACCUGUGUGUUCCGUAAGUUGUCCCCUGACUUCCACAUGUUCACUCUCUAAAUGUAAAACCAAAGGUGUACAUAUUUUCAUCUGUCUCUUUUUAAUGACUAUAUUCAAAAGUUACUGGUAAAGGAAGUGUCAUGGUUUAUUUGAGCACACUGCUUGCAUCUAUGUUUUUGUUUGUUUGCUUGUGUAGCUUUUUUACUACUGUCAAUUUCAAGAACUAUUAUUUUUUGAGACUGAAUGUGAGGGGGCACAGUAGAGAACUGAAAUAGCCACUGUGUGGAUAAAAAGGGGAAAAUUUAUUCCACACAGCCAAGGCUGUCCAUCAGGAAAACAGAGAGCAGCAAAGGGGGAGGGGGUGGAUCUUCAGGGCUAUUAGGGAACGGGAGCCUGGGAGAAUGAGUGACUGUGAACUGGAGUAGGGGCUUUGCAGUGCGUAAGAGGUACUUGUGAGGAGGGACUGAGGGAGCCUGUUGUCCACCUGGACCUUGACAUGCUGAUAGGCACCACAGACACGUUGAUGGGAGAGACAUGUCCCUUUUGCUAGAGAUGUGGAGAAGGACUCCUUUUGGCAAGUGGGCUGUUGGACUCGAGUCCUGAGCAGAACUCAGGAACCUGUGCACAAAGCAAUACAGUAAACUAGAAGUGCACAGGACCUGAUUUGGAAGAGGCUGGGUUGCACGCAUUUCUUUGUAGCUUAGAACCUGUCUGUACCAGUAAAUACAGGGAGAAAUGCACAGUGAGAUCGUUUUGCAUUUCUGAUCCGAAUGGUAAUUCAGUUGGGAUGCCAAUUCAGGGCCAGUUGCAGUAAUGACCACAAAGGCAAUGUUUUUGCUUGAUAUGACUUAUUGAUGACAAUGUAUUCACCAGACACUUCAAGAACAUAGUUUUGACCAGGCAUGAGGUGAGCCUUGAGUUAACUGAGAAUAGACGUUAUUAACACUGCCUUGCAAAUAUAAUUACCCAAGCAGACCGUUCCUGCAUUCACAUUGCUGACAGGAAAAAUGAAGUAGACAAGCAUUUCUCAGCUGGUUUCUUAGAAAUACAUGUAGAGUGUCGAUUGAUUUUUUUUCUUCCCUCCAAAACAAAAAUCUACCACACAGACGAUGGGGCUCUCCGCCGCCUCUGUGUGUAUAUUCAGUUUUAUAGGUCUGCAGGCACGGCGCGGCCAGGUGUCUGCUCCGUUAGUGUUCAUCUCACUAACAUACAUGGCGUUUUCUAUUUUGCUAAUCUGCUUUCAUUUCUACUUCCACCAUGCUCGUUCCUAAACACUCUUCCUUGACUGCCCCCAUGUAAGCCAUGUUAUUUGCGCAGUGAUAUAAACCCACACAGCCUUCUCCAUAAUAAAGUAAACAUUAAGAAAGAGAUACAUGUUCUGAUACAUAGGAAUAAAUGGAUAAAUAAUAUAUACAAAAGACUGUGAAUUUGUCAUUUGGUUUUACAGAUGGAAAUUAUAUAAAUAUAUAUCAGUAUAUGUCUGUACACAUAAUAAGCACAUGUAACUAUAUAUGUACACAUAUACAUUAUACAUGUGUAUAUACAUGCAUAUUUAUGCAUAUUUCCCUCCCACAUUAUAUAUGUGUAUGUACACACAUAUACACAUAUAGUCCCCCUCACCCAGCAAUACCCCUCAUUUAAUGUAAUUUGAUCAGGCAGGGCAGCCAGCAGGUCACUUUCUACAGAGCUGGCUUGCCUUCUCAGUACUGACAAACUUGCUUGUGUUUAUUAACCCUCCCCACAUUGCUAGGCAAACGUUUGGUUUUGGGGACUGGAGAGAUGGCUCUGUGGUUACAAUACUGGCUGCUCUUACAGAGGAUCCAGGACUGGGUACCUAGCGAGGGAGUGGCUCACAACCAUUUGUAACUCCACUUACAGAAAUCAGGCCCCCUCUUCCGUUGUCCUCCUCAGGCACCAGGUACCUAUGUGGUACACAUGCAUACUCAUGCACAUGAAAUAAAAAUAAUAAUAAAUAGAUCUCUUAAAAAAGAAAAGUACUGGAGGGAGAGAAGUGGAUGGAACCAUGGAUGAACCCUGGGGUAAGAACUGGCAGGCUGUGACAGGGGCCUAUCAUUUCACUGUUUUCUUUCAAUGCUUGAAUUCUCCAUACAAUAAUAAUUCUUCUUUUGAAAUGGCAGGUUUCCUGUCUCAGCUUUGCAGGUAGCUGGGGUCGCGUAGGUGAGCGCUGCUAUGCUUCCCUCUUAAUAAUCAAUUUAGGAAGGGAGCUGUUAUAAGUCAUCCUGCUUCUUUGGAGUACUUGAAGACCUGCUCUAUUACAUUUUCGUUAUCUUUUUUCCUCCUCCUCCUCCUCCUCUUCUUCUUUUAUUUUUAUUUUUUGAGGGAGGAGCUAACUGUUUGCCCUAGAUCUCCUGGAACUCACUCUGUAGACCAGGCUGCAGAAAUCUGCUGGGAUUAAAAGUGGGGUUACUAUGCCUGGCAUUAUUGACAACUUCUUUUUGUUUGUUUGUUUUGAGAUGGGUUCUCUUUGUAGCCUUGGCUAUCCUAGACUUGCUUUGUAGACCAGUCUGGCUUUGAACUCACAGAGAUCCGCCUGCCUCUGCCUCCCUCUGUGCUGGGAUUACCAGCGUGUAACCCAUACUUGGCUAAUAGACAACUCUUAAUCUCCAGCUAAUCACUGGCUUGUCUUAGAAAAGUCCAGCACAAGCCCACAUCUUACAGAAGUGGCUUCCAGUUCCUUUGCAGAGGCUCUGGUUAUUCUGGUCAGUGCAUUCUGAAACAGUCUUCUCAAAUUUGAUUCUCUUUCUUUUCUCUUCUGUGGAACAAUUUCCCACUUCUGUGAGUAGUUUUGAAAAUCACUUUUUUGCAAAGAGUUGCUUACCCAUUGUCUUCAAAAGCCAGAGUAUUACUUCCUGGCUGGAGAUACAGGACCUGGAGUUCAUAUCCACUGCAUCACACCAGCUUUGCUGGCAUUGGCAGUCGUUAACUUGCCAACACAGCCACAGCUCCUGGGCAGCAAGGUGGAGGUGGGUGUGCUCAGGUUCUGAGUUGCUGUACCUACUUGCUUCGGAAACUUCCGCAGCUUUCCUGGGCACCAGUCUAGUGUGUUGAUGUCAGGAAUGUGUGUGUGUAUCAUUAAUUGCUUACUUGACACUGAGAGAGGAAAUCCCUUUAAUGUACAUUAUUUCUUUCCAAGUUUGGUGUUUCUUUUCUUUUCUUCUUUUCUUUAUUUAUUAUUUGUACAUAGUCUGCCUGCAUGUGUGUGAUGACACACCAGAAGAGGGCACCUGAUCUCACUAUAGAUGGUUGUGAGCCACCAUGUGGUUGUGGGAAUUGAACUCAGGACCUCUGGAAGAGCAGACAGUGCUCUUAACCUCCAGCUCCUAAAUUUGAUAUUUCAACUCUGAUGUUUUGCCCUGUUUGCCCUAGAAAAAAAAAUUUAGUAAGUCUUUGCCCAUUGUUUUAUUGAUAAGAAAGUGUCACUUUAAGUACUUCUCAUACUAUUGUAGGUAAAAUGACCCUAUGUUUGGUGUGCAGGGAAAACAUUCUGACUUUGAAGCCUGUGCAUCUUUAUCUGAUAUAUAGCUAAGUUAUAUAUAUAACUAAGUUCUGUGUCAUCCUUUGCCUUGAGAUUGCUGUAGCAGAGUCAGAACACAGGAGGCGAAGUCUUGGCUUUGGGGAUGUGGCUUUGCUCUGGCGAAAGCUCCAGAAGAGGCCGUUUAUGCACUUUGCUGUCCAGUCGUCAUCCUUAGCUGCUGCUGCUCUCCUUUGGGCUUAGGGUGUAUCACGUUCGGCCCUAGAGGUGUCCCUAAAAUUCCUUUUUGUUAGUAAUCUGAUGCUGAUUUGUUCCCUUACACUCUAGCCAGCAGCUUAGGAGUUUGCAUUAACUGAUGGACGAGGUAAGCUAGUGUCUUCCGGGACUGAGUGCUGCAGUGACUACCUCUCCUGGCCUUCUCUGGAGGCAGAAACUCCUGCUGCUGUGUUGUGGAUGAAGUCUGGAGGGGUCCUCUAUUCACUGCUGCAGAGCUGUCUUACCUCCCAGUGUCCACAGCUCUGAGGUGGGAGACCCCGAGGCAGCUUUCACCUUUCAUUCCAGCUGUCUCCUCUAAAAUUGUGGGUAAUGAGUUUUCUUCAACCUGAUGGCAUUCAGCUUCCACACCUGGGUAAUCAAAGACAACGACAGCUUCAGCCUCUGCCUUGGAUUGCCCACUCUGGGGGAAAGCAGCUGUAUGGGGGUCAUCUGGAUGGGGUCCCUCAGCAUCUGCAGCCUCAUCACCCAUUUUGAAGACUGAAGUCUUGACUGGCAUCUUGUGAGAGACUCUGAGCCCAAUCACCUGACUCCUGGAUUCCUUACUUUAAAAAACAUGACACAAUAACCGCUUAUUGUUCUAAAUUGUUAAUAUUUGACACAUCAUUAGCUACUAGGUAUUUUCCAGGUGAAACUCUUACUUUACCAUGCCUUCAAAAUUGUCCCUUUUUGUUACUUCAGCUAAAACUCUUUGGAGAAACUUAUGGAGGCCCAGCCAAGGUCACCAAACCACUAUGAGUAAUUGUUUUAGGUGACUAGGAGUAAACUUGGUCCAUUACAGUCCUGAAGUGAGCAUACCCAGAAGCAUGUGUUUCUCAUGACAGCUAAGGAGACAACCUCUAGUCACUAAAUAUGAACCAUGCUUUAGUCACCAGCAACACUCUCCUUUUGGGUAUGGCAUCAACUUCUGCCUGCCAACCCUUCCUUCUUUGAUUCCUCAGUUGGCCCUUUCUCCCACCCAGGACAUUAAAUGUGGGGACCCUCCAUGUCCAGUUAUAGGCUCUUUUCCUUCGGUGAUCUGCUCUCUUUCCUGAAGAAUCCUUACUCAUCCUCGUGGAGAAUAUGCACUUGAUGUUCAAAUGUGUUCACCCACACUGGGCCUCAUGAGUUUCAUCCACAUUGCAAUACUCACUACUGCUUGGCCUCUUUCACUGCUUAACGGUAACCCAUUUUAUGGAGAGAGUGUGCCUUAUCUAGCUACCCGUUGAUGGGUAUUUUGUUUUGUGGAGUUUUUAGUGGUUAUGAAUACUACUACUGUAAUCAUCCCCAACAAUCCGUGUGACCCAUUACUGCACUCCUCUUGGGCAUACACCUAGCGGAGGGAUGGCUGGCCUAGGGUCUGUGCAUAUGAAUGAAAAAAGAGGGCAUGAUGUGCUCACAUGUGGGCCGGGGAGAAGACUGUAGAGAUGAGGGAGGCACAGCUGGACUGAACCAGGCCAUGCCAGAAGGGGUCAGGGAGUGUGAGAGGAAGAGAAUAGAGAAGGGGCAAAGACAGUACAUGGGAACCCGGACACCAAGAGCACCGAGACACUGAGUAGCCAGAAUGGCCGGGGGUUACAUAGGAAUCAGAGAAGCUAGGAGAAGGGGUAUGGCUUGCUGGGGCUGGAGACAUUCAAGGUAGAGGGCGGGCAUGCUGGUACUUGCUGAAGACCUGCCUGUCAGUGAGUGUCUGCUCUGAUAGGUUAAGUAGGCACCUCAGCCAUUUGUUCUGGGUUUGAGACCUAACACGGAGAAAGAAACACAAUCAGUCAUGGCAUGAGAAUACUUUCAGCUGUCUUUCUCAACAAAGGGUCUCUCUUUCCAGUUUUUACAUCCAUUUAUUUUGUGUGUGGGUACAUGUAUGCACACAUGCACGGGUCAAAAAACAACUUGUGGGAGUCAGUUCUCUCCUUCCACGGUGUGUGUUCCAGGGAUCAAAUUCAGGACCACAGGCUUGGCACAUGCUGGCUUGUGAUGGCUCUGUUCUUCAGUGCUCCCUGUCAAGUGGCUGCCCACAUCCGUUAUGGCUAUACCUGUCCUUAUGGGUUAUUAAGUAGAUGAAGUCAGUGAAGGCAGGAAUGUAAUCAAUAGCCUCUUUCACUAGUAACACCAUUAUUGGUUCUUUCACACAGUAUGAGCAGCAUACCACAGGAGAACACUGUCAUGUGAACAUCACAGAGUACUCACAUCCUCCCUGUGCUGUGUGGUACAGCCACAGCUGUGUAAGGGCUCCACCAAUGAAAGCAGUGUCGGUUUCUGUGCAGACAACCUGGAGAAGUGCACUGUGAGUUCCUGACCUCAGAUGAGUGGCCGCAUCUGAAGGCCUCUAUUGGCACCUGCUUCUGCUGACCAAGAUAGCAAAUGAGAUAAUGACAGGAAGCAGGAAAUGUGAAGGUGUUGAGAGGCAGACCUAAUGUAGGGAGAGGGGGCCCUGGCAGAAGCCUGGCUUCCUGAGAUUACUGAGCUCUGUGUACCAGGAGCUGCUGAGCCUCACGGAGAUUUGCAGGUUGACUGUUUGGCCAUGAUUUCCAACAAUGGGAAAUCAUAGGCUUCUGUCACCCUAGUACUGAGGGAGUCCUGGUACAUGUGUCCCCCCUCUCCUUGGGAAUGGCAGGACUAAUCUACAGCUUUAGCAGUUGAUUAGCUGGCUGCUCAAGGGCCUGUGAGCUUUUAUAUAUCCUUCCAAAAGUUACACAAUUUUUCCUAUCCAUCUACUUACACAAAUCUACCUAUCCAUCAUCUAUUUACACAAUUCUAUCUAAACAAAUCUAUCUAUUCAUCCAUUUACACAAUUCUGUCUGUCUAUCCAUCCAUCCAUCCAUUUACACAAGUCUAUCUAUCCAUUUAUCUACACAAAUCUAUGUAUCCAUCUACCCAUCUAUACAACAAAUGUUUCCAUCCAUUUACACAAUUCUAUCUAUCUAUCUAUCUAUCUAUCUAUCUAUCUAUCUAUCUAUCCAAAUCUAUCCAUUCAUCUAUCUAUUUACACAAAUCUAUCUAUCUAAUUACAAGGAGAUAUUGUAUUUUUGCAUGAAAAGAUAUCAGCAAUAUAGUUUAAAGUCUCUAUAAUUCUAUCCAUCUAGUAAUCAAGAGCUCAGUGAAAUGCAGAGAUAAACACUGCAAAAAAUAGAUAUAUGUAAGCAAGACAAAAUCAAGACCAGAUAGAUGUGAAUUAGAAUAGAUACUCAUGACUGGGACCAGAAAAGAGAUGAAAGAGAACUUUGUAAGACUUAGGGCAUGAUUCAAUGCUUGAACUGCAAUUUUGGCUUUGAACCUCCUCUUGGUGGGAAAGAGAAGACAGAAACAAGUCAGCUAAUUCUCAAAAAGAUAAACACAGGCUGGGGAUUAGCUCAGUGGCUGCCGAGGCAUAGGGACUUAUGUUUGGAUCCCUGCUGUUAGUUCACUAGUUAGUACACUAGUCCACUCCUACAUUGCUUAGCAACCCGUGAUGCCUUCACCUGCCUCCCUCAGGUGUGUGCAUCUCAGCUGUGUACCAGAUCCAAAGGACCAGCUUUGGAUCUGGUACACAAAGCAUCACUGUGUGUUCUCUCUGUCUCAAUUUUUCUCCCCUUGCCUGUUCCUCUGUCUGUCCCUCUGAUUCUGUCUUCCUCCCUCCCCAUACUGUAUUCUCCCCUCUCCUAAGCUCAACCUCUGUCGCAGUUUUGCCUUUCCCAUAAUAAACCUCUUUGUAACCGCAACCUGUUGGCUAGCAUGUAAUUGAGAUUGUAACACGUACAACUCACAUAAGAGCUGAGCAUGUCCAGGCUUGCAGGUAACCUGUGCUGGGGAGCUGAGAAGGAAGGACCACUGGGGCUUGCCGGCCCCAGCUGAGCUGGGAAACAACAAGAAAAAUGAGCUUUGAGGCUAUGCCAGGGAAGUGACAUGCAGUGAUUGGGACUUACGACUCCGUUGUGUGGCCGAUUAUUAAUUUGUCAGUGCAGAUGCAUCACCAUGCAGGGUGGAGAGGUCAGUUAUGGGCCAGUCAUUGGGUUGGAAUGACCAGAGCCCAGGCUGUGCCAAGUUGUACCAUUGUGGAUCACUGGGAGAUCUCUAUCAGCACAUUUCCCAUCGCUGUAAUGAAGUAGCAGACUUACAGAGUAACUUAUAAAGAAGAGAGGCUUUAGCCCACACUUGGGGAGGUGGAGAGCCCACACGGCAUGGCACAGGUCCUCUGAGGAGCUGCUGCCUGCGUCACAUCAUUGCAGAGACAACAUGGCGGAAGUGAUGGCAAGAGGGACCAUAUAGCGAGACAAGAAGCCACGGAAGGAUUCAGGGCCUAGGCUUUUCUUUAAUCUUGGAAAAACCAACUAGUGUCUGAUAGUUCUAUAUUAGGUUCUGUAGCUGGCCUUUGCUACUUUGUGGGUUCUUUCCCCCAGGUUCACUCCCUAACACUAAAUAGGAGAAAAACGAGGAUACAGGGAAGAGAGGAAUUAAGAAAAUCCUUGGAUCUAAUUUCUUUCCUUUGGCUUCUUUUUUGACCAGAGCUACUAGAAAACUAUAACCAGUCUCCCUAAAUGACCAGCAACCACUGCUCUUUCCUGUCAGGGCCCUCACAUUUAUGUAUCCUCUGAAAUGUUCCCACAAUUCCAAAUGUCACACAAUCCCAGAAAUUACCUGCAGCCGGCAAAACCAUGUUCCUGCUAGAGCACAAGGUAAAUGAUGGUCAGCUGCUGUGGACAGUCUGAAGUAGCCCCACAUCCCCACACCUGGGAUUAAAACAUUGUAAUACUUCAGUUUUUAAAGAAACCAAACUUCCAGAAUUCUCAUUACAAGUUUCCUCUAAGGGUGUUGCCUCAAGGACCCUCUACUGUGUCCCCGAGUUCUGUUUUGUUUUUUUGCAUCAGGGUCUUACUGUGCAGCCUCCAACUCAAAAUCUUCCUUUUCUGGGCUCCUGAGUCCAGGGAUUACAGAUGGUGAUCAAUCUGGCCAUCUUAAGCCUCACUUUGGAAUGGGCCCACCAUUUACUUUGUAGAGAAAGAGGACUGAGACAUGUAUCUUCAAACAUGCUAUGUGGUACAGGAUGACUCUGAACUCCUGACCGUCCUGCCUCUCCCUCCCGAAGGCUGGAAUUAUGGUCUUGUGUCACCACACCCAUCUUCAGGGUCUCCUUUUAACAUUGCCACAUGGGCAUCAAGUUUUCUCUCCUCCUCCCCCCUCCCCUUUUUGGUUUGGGCAACAAGUUUUCAACACUCAGAUUGGGAAAUAAUAUCCAAACCAGAUAAGAACCAGUCUGAAAAACAGUUAAGAUUACAGUGCAACCCAAAGAACACUAUGCCUCUGGCCUUUCGGUAUUGUUUUAAUCUUUUGUCUGGAGAGCCUGUGAAGCUCAGUGGGAGGGAAGCUUGUAUGAGGCAGGUGUGUGUGCCUUUGUGGUGGUUACUCAGUAACCAGCCAUUGUUCUAAUAAAGCUGUAACAUUGGGCUUCAGUUGGGGACACUGUGUUGGGGGAGUCUGUAGGGGACACUGUGUUGGGGGAGUCUGACUACAGGCAGGUGGUUUCAGGCCCGGUGGAGAGUAAGCUCUCUUCACAGACUUAGGUGUGGGACACCAGAAAGGAAACAGGGACGUCCAGCUCCAGAAUGUGGGUACAUGUGACUGUAUUAAGUGAAAGUGUAUUAGGUGGAAGUGUGAUGUGAAUGAACUCAGUUUAACAAGUGGUUGGGGACAGGCAGUGGUGACACACACCUUCAGUCCCAGCACUCAACAGGUAGAGGCAGGUGGAUCUCCAGCCAUCCUGGUCUAUAAAGAGAGUUCUAGGACAUCCAAGGCUACAAAGAGAAACCCUGUCUUGAAAGAAAAAAAAAAAAAAAAAAGUUA